rnacentral:rRNA from 1 species
CCCUACGGGGGAGAGGUGGGUUCCCGCGUGCAGAUUAACGAUUACGUGGCUAAGCUGGUUUCCGGCGAGACGGCGUCCACGAUGGUCUCGCUGGUGAUGGUCGUCUUUUACGCCCUUCUCAUGCUCCGGUAUAAUGUGCUCCUGACAGUGGUGGGCGUUCUGGUGGCACUUCUGAAUGUGGUGGCCCUGCGAGCUCUGUCUCGCAAGCGUGUGGAUGGUAACCGCCACCUGCUCCAGGAUCAAAGCAAACUGAUGGGCAUCUCCCUCGGGGGCCUGCAAAUGAUGGAAACCCUCAAAGCCAGCGGCAUCGAGAACGACUUCUUCGCCCGAUGGGCCGGCUAUCAGUCCAAGGUGUUAAGCGGCCAGCAGGAAUUGGCGGGAGGGC